AUUUGAAUAUUCCGGAACACCCUGCACCCAGGAAGGUUCGAUCCAGAAGACAAUGGGAAGGAGUUGCCGAGCAAAUUAGCUUAUCAUUCCGGCUUCUUCAUACACCACCGCCGCCGGUUCCCGUUUUUGGCGAGCACGAAGAAGGAAGAACGCCAUUAUCCACCGAUCGACCAAACUAGUGUGUGUGCGAGCGUACCAAUUUGAUGUUUGCUUUGCGUUUUGCCACUUGAACUGGCGCGCCAAGAGGUAAGAUUGACACUUUGGAGCGCAAACACAAAACGCUCGCAGGGCCCGGGCCGGUGCUUAACCUUACUUUUCGCGACAGAGCGCACCGACUGUGCGACAGUUACUUCAGGCUGAUCAAGCUUCGUUUGGUGGCGAGCGGUCCAAUUAAUUUGUGGAGCAACCGGCUUCCGUGCCUCACUGUGUGUGGGCUGACGUCGUCCCGCAGGUCGUGGUGAUAGUUGGUGAAGUGUUUGGCAAACAGGUCCCUAAACCAGUCCCCACAACUAAGUCAGUCUCUCUCUCUCUCUAUCUCGUUGUGUGUGCCUCUUUGCGGUGUUGCCGCGAACUCGGGGAGUGGGAGUUUUGGGCACGUGGUUGAAGUUUGAAGCGCGUUUGAAGCGCGUUUGACGAUCCACACGCUGCUUGCCGUUGUACUGCCACAAGUGGGCCUUCGUUCCAGUUCCAGCUGACGUCCACUCUUCUGGCGCAUCGGUCCACGGAUUGGCACGGGAUGGAAUCGGAUUUAGCGCUAAACACUGCCCCCCUCUACCCCCCUCCACAGAGGCACCUGGCGACGAGGCAUUUGGCACUAAGCCAAAAAGGCGCUUAGCCAUCGUCUCCUGCAUCUCCUGCUUCUCGAUUCCCCGUCGAGCCCAUAAUUAGGAUCUGAGCGAGGGCGCGGAUACGGAGUGGACCACAGCCACCCACCCACCCACGCGAUUCGAUGCUCAUUUCGAUUCCAGCUCACGAACUAGCUUAGCUUUGUGCCGGUGACAGUACGCGCCGGUGUGCGUCGGAACGUCGAAACAAGUCUCAUUAAGCCGCAUCAAAUCAGUCUUAACACGCCCCUGUCCGUCCGUCUCCGCGCCACUCACAUAUCGCCAUUCCGUCGUUGCGUCGACGUUUGCCGGUAAUAGGCGGCGAGUUUCACCGACUGUUCGGUCCGUUUUGCUACCGACCGUGAGUGAGUGAGCGUGAGAGAGAGAGAGAGAAAAAGUGGAGGGCGGCGCUUUAUGAAGAUUAAUGAAAUUUCUCACCCGAGCCGACAGUGCAAUUUCGGCUUCGACAUUUGCAAAAUGGGAAAACCAUCGCGUGUCAGUCAUCGAUGUCAUUAGCAGCAGUGGUAACGGCGGUGGUGGUGGGGAUGGCCCGCACCAGCAGCAGCACGCAAACAUGCACAGCAUGCCCGUACACCGCAAGAUGCGGUGAGCCGCACAUCGCAGCACCAAGCGCAAAUGCGAUGCGAUGCGAUGAGAUGAGAGUGAAGGUGGCCGAAGGAAACGAACGAGAAGGAGAGUAACGGGGAGUAGUAAGGAUAAAAAUCUGUCACCACCAACAACCCCUGGACGGUAAGCGAGGGGAGCGCGGCGGGCAGCAGAAUGAAACUUGAAUGCCCAUUUCGUCGUCGUCGUUGUCGUCGUCGGAGCAGCAGCAGCAGCAUUCCUUAAUUUAUCAUUGAUUGAACGGGCACGGAUCAGCAGCCGGUGAGGGAAUGGGAGAGGACAACUUACUUCUGCUACUUCGACGUCAGCCCAACCACCUCCACCUCGGGAAUCUCCUGGACCCUCUCCGGAAUAAAAGCAACCACCAGGUAGUGCACCUCGUGCUACAGAGUGCGUGCAGGUGAAA